rnacentral:lncRNA from 1 species
AAAGCCCCCAUCAUAAGUCGCAUUGUGACCUUCUGGUGGUCAAAGACCCCCACCAAACAGAGACCCUCCUACCAGGCAGGACAUGCCAGGGGUCCAGAGAACCCCUCCCAGGAGCCCAAGGCAAAGGGCAGACCAUUUGAGUCAGGUUAAUUCUUUACUACACAAUCCCAAAGUAUCAUUUCUCUAUCUUUGAUUAUCCCAACAUUUCUAAGAAGACUCUAAAUCCUUGUGGAUUUGAAGGACACUUCCUGGGGCAGACAAUUCCAGCCCAGCAAACAGCUGAUCUUCGGCGUUUCACCUGGCGUGAGGUCUGGAGCUGUGGACGUCCUUGGCACUUCUCGCCGUUCACUGACAGCUUGAUCGUUGGCUUUGUCUUUUUAAAACACUCUACACUUCAGCCAAAUUUAGAGUUGGCCGGACUAACAUUUAGACAAGACCCACAGACAGAUAAAGACUUGGAAAGACCUGCCAGUCAGACAAGCAGCCCACGGGAAGCCUGUGCACAUCCAUGUCAGGUCCGAAGAGACUUCUGUUUCACCAGCCUACCGAGAUUCCAGAGUGCUCAGGGAUACAAACAAAGACGUGAACGGAUUGAAGAGCCAUUGGUGCAGUCGAGGAGAAGGGACGGACAAACCUGUGGACUUGGAUGCCUCUGAGAAGCCUUCAAGGCUCCACAGAGGCUGCCAGCUCUGAGAGAUUUACACUGUGGGAAGGAGGGGGAACUCUUCCAGGCACAGGAAGCAACUGACAAGGCAUGGAAUUGAUUGCAUCAUCAGAAGAGAAUUCCAAAAAUAUUUCAUAUUUUCAAAGGUGAUAUUGGUUCAUUCCACAGAACCAGGAAAUUAUCAAAAAGAUACUUACUUUCAUGCUAUCGAAGUACUGCUGGACUUGCAACAACUAUUGCUAACAUGUUCUUGAAUUAAGCAUCUAUUGUGUAUUUAGAGUAGAAAGUACAGUCAAGUGUUUCACUAACUGCGAGAAAUGUGGAUCCUUCAGCUACAGAGAAAACAGCUUUAAAAUCCUGACGGCCUUAGUGUCUAAAAUCCUCCAUGAUUUGGCCUCAAAUUUCUGUGUCUUCCAGUGAGCAGAAGAGAGCAGAGAUCUUGGAUCGUUUUGAAAGAAUAUCACCUUUUUAAAAAAGAAUAUCAACGUAGUUAUUGCGGCCACUCCAUGGACGCGGGAUGGGCCCCCAUCCAAUAUGUGGUUCCCACAUCAAGACUGAUGACGUCACUCAAUCACCCAAAGUGCAUGAAAAGAUUUGUUACCAGCCUCCCAAGUUGGUCCCUGACGACUCGGGAGAGCAGGAGAGGAGACUUUCGUGGGGUCUUUCUGGCCCUUAGGAGCUGGCUGGGUGAGGACUCCUGCGUGCUUUGAACCUUCCCAAUGGUGCCGAAGAAAGGAGCGUGUGGGCACUCCUACCCAUGUGCCCAGAUGGGGCAGAAGGGAACAGGGAGGAGGAGACUUGAAAGACAUCUGCAGCCAGUUGUCAGAAAUAGAGUCAGGUUUUUUAUUACAGAAACUAUCAUAGGAAAAAUCAGAAUUCGUGGGGAAGAAUGUACACUGUCAUCUUUGUACUGUUGCUAAUGAUCUGUUUCAUGGUGGGUGGGGAUCACUUCCUUCUCAGCAUUUAAGGCCUCAGCGUUGUGACUGGCCUGGGCUCCAACUUACCUUUCUCCCCUUAUUUUCCACUCUUGUCUUUGGAAGCAGCCCUGAGCCACGAGAACCAUGGUCAGCUCUCUGCCGUGACCUCCGCUCCUGCCCAGCUCUGGUCCUGGAAGCCUUUCCCACCUAUUUGCUGUGUAUGAGUCUUAUCCGUCUUCAAGUCCAGUUCCAACGCGUGAAACUUUUUCUGGUUCCACCUCUUGGAAGAGAUUCUUGCUUCUUCUCAAGCCCCUGAGCAUAUUUUGUUUCCUCUUAGACCACUUGUUCUCUAGCCAUGUCUGCAAGGGCCUGGAGACCAGAAUCCAAGAGACCCACUGAUUUUUCUGUCUUCCACACUGUCUUCCUCAGAGGUGUCUGUGCCAGGAGGUUGAGAACCUCAUUUCACACACUGUUAUUCCCUUAACACUUGGAGCAGUGCCUGGCACAGAACUGGUGCUCACUGUAUACCAUUCUGUAAAUAAAUAAUAGAUGAAUAUGUGUUGAAUAAAUGAAAGCUAAAUUCAUAGAGGCUGUCUGAUUCAAACUUGUAUUAUAUCCUUAAAUUGCUUCUUAGGCAUUGCUUAAAUAAAAGGGAAAUGCACGUUUUCUUGAGAGUUUGGUGUCUCAAGGUAGAGUUGGCUGUUGAGCUAAUUUAAAGGGGAAAUCAGUACUAGGCUGGGCAUUCACAACUGGGUGUCUCUGAUACGGUCCUGGGACAGAGAAUCUAGCAUUUUCAGAGGCUUCUCAGGACUGACUGUGGCUGACCCAGGGAGUAUUGCACAGCCGGCGGACCGUCGUGAAGGUGCUGGACAAGCACAGACAUUGCCCUGCCUCUGGUUUUCAGAACCUGUGCCAGUUCUGUUCUUCUUUUUAUCACAGCUGCAGACAAAAUUGGCAGAUGCUGAGAGCUGUGCACACAUGGUCCUGGUCCGUGCCCACAUGCGCAGCGUUUAUUGCAGGCCAACCCAGGAGAGGAUACCAGACACGAGAAGGCACAAGCUGAAGGCUGUCUGCAGAAGCUUAUGGUACCAGAGCCCACGUACGUGAUCCCCAGAUAAGGGCGUCAAAGUCCAGCACCAAAAACUCCAGAUUUCAACUGAUGGUUGUUAAAAAAAGUCUCCUUACCUUUCUCUGUGUCUCUUCAUGUUUGAGAACUUGCCUGGCCUUCACUCUCAAGUUACAGAUGCCACAGAGGAAAGAGCAAAGGGAGAAGAGAAGGUCCCCUAUUCUAGAAAGGGGUGAUCAAUGAUCAGUGGGAUCAGAGGACUGACCACAAAGCUGAUUACUAAGAGCCGUGGGGAGACUCACUUUCCCCUUCUUGAAUCUGCACUGGUUUUGCGAUUUGCUUUGAUGGAAGUGACAUUGUAUGCAUUCAGAGCCCAGGCCUCAAAGGUCUUGCGGGAUCUGCCUGUGCCCUCUUGGAUGCUGCCCUGAAAUUCCCACAGAGGAGCCAGUCUAGCUUACAGGAAGGUGGGAGGCCACAUGGAGAAGAACCAAGGCUCCUGAGCCAGGAGUCAGCACCCACUGCCAACGUGAGGGAGGCAUCUGGGACCUUCCAUUUCUGCCGAACCACCGAGUGCAGUCGUGUGGGGAGCGCAGGAGAAACCAGCAGAGGAGCAGCCUGCCAGCUCAAGGAUCCGGGAAAAACAGUAAACCACAUUGUUCUUGGCCACUAAGCUCUGGGGUGAUUUGUCACAGGGCUGAAAAUAGCCGAUGCACAGCCUGCUUGUGAGUUUCACAUUUACUUACUCGACAUGGCAAGUCAAUUAUUUAUUUACACUUUCCAACUUCUCCGGUUUUUCAAAACAAUAAAAU